UAAAUACUAAUACCAGAUCGAUAGUGCACAAGUACCGUGAGGGAAAGGUGAAAAGAACUGAGGUGAUCAGAGUGAAAUAGAACCUGAAACCAUUUGCUUACAAUCAUUCAGAGCCCUAUGUAGCAAUACAGGGUGAUGGACUGCCUUUUGCAUAAUGAGCCUGCGAGUUGUGGUGUCUGGCAAGGUUAAGCAAACGCGAAGCCGUAGCGAAAGCGAGUCUGAAUAGGGCGCUUAGUCAGAUGCUGCAGACCCGAAACGAAGUGAUCUAUCCAUGAGCAAGUUGAAGCUAGUGUAAGAACUAGUGGAGGACUGAACCCAUAGGCGUUGAAAAGCCCCGGGAUGACUUGUGGAUAGGGGUGAAAGGCCAAUCAAACUUCGUGAUAGCUGGUUCUCUCCGAAAUAUAUUUAGGUAUAGCGUUGUGUCGUAAUAUAAGGGGGUAGAGCACUGAAUGGGCUAGGGCAUACACCAAUGUACCAAACCCUAUCAAACUCCGAAUACCUUAUAUGUAAUCACAGCAGUCAGGCGGCGAGUGAUAAAAUCCGUCGUCAAGAGGGAAACAACCCAGACUACCAGCUAAGGUCCCUAAAUCUUACUUAAGUGGAAAACGAUGUGAAGUUACUUAAACAACCAGGAGGUUGGCUUAGAAGCAGCCAUCCUUUAAAGAAAGCGUAAUAGCUCACUGGUCUAGUGAUUUUGCGCGGAAAAUAUAACGGGGCUAAAGUAAGUACCGAAGCUGUAGACUUAGUUUACUAAGUGGUAGGAGAGCGUUCUAUUUGCGUCGAAGGUAUACCGGUAAGGAGUGCUGGAGCGAAUAGAAGUGAGCAUGCAGGCAUGAGUAGCGAUAAUUAAUGUGAGAAUCAUUAACGCCGUAAACCCAAGGUUUCCUACGCGAUGCUCGUCAUCGUAGGGUUAGUCGGGUCCUAAGUCGAGUCCGAAAGGGGUAGACGAUGGCAAAUUGGUUAAUAUUCCAAUACCAACAUUAGUGUGCGAUGGAAGGACGCUUAGGGCUAAGGGGGCUAGCGGAUGGAAGUGCUAGUCUAAGGUCGUAGGAGGUUAUACAGGCAAAUCCGUAUAACAAUACUCCGAGAACUGAAAGGCUUUUUGAAGUCUUCGGAUGGAUAGAAGAACCCCUGAUGCCAUCGAGCCAAGAAAAGUUUCUAAGUUUAGCUAAUGUUGCCCGUACCGUAAACCGACACAGGUGGGUGGGAUGAGUAUUCUAAGGCGCGUGGAAGAACUCUCUUUAAGGAACUCUGCAAAAUAGCACCGUAUCUUCGGUAUAAGGUGUGGUUCGCUUCGUAUUAGGAUUUACUCCGAAAGCGAAGAAACUUACAACAAAGAGUCCCUCCCGACUGUUUACCAAAAACACAGCACUCUGCUAACUCGUAAGAGGAUGUAUAGGGUGUGACGCCUGCCCGGUGCUCGAAGGUUAAUUGAUGGGGUUAGCAUUAGCGAAGCUCUUGAUCGAAGCCCGAGUAAACGGCGGCCGUAACUAUAACGGUCCUAAGGUAGCGAAAUUCCUUGUCGGUUAAAUACCGACCUGCAUGAAUGGCGUAACGAGAUGGGAGCUGUCUCAAAGAGGGAUCCAGUGAAAUUGUAGUGGAGGUGAAAAUUCCUCCUACCCGCGGCAAGACGGAAAGACCCCGUGGACCUUUACUACAGCUUGACACUGCUAUUUGGAUAAGAAUGUGCAGGAUAGGUGGGAGGCUUUGAGUAUAUGACGCCAGUUGUAUAUGAGCCAUUGUUGAGAUACCACUCUUUCUUAUUUGGGUAGCUAACCAGCUUGAGUUAUCCUCAAGUGGGACAAUGUCUGGUGGGUAGUUUGACUGGGGCGGUCGCCUCCCAAAUAAUAACGGAGGCUUACAAAGGUUGGCUCAGAACGGUUGGAAAUCGUUCGUAGAGUAUAAAGGUAUAAGCCAGCUUAACUGCAAGACAUACAAGUCAAGCAGAGACGAAAGUCGGUCUUAGUGAUCCGGUGGUUCUGUGUGGAAGGGCCAUCGCUCAAAGGAUAAAAGGUACCCCGGGGAUAACAGGCUGAUCUCCCCCAAGAGCUCACAUCGACGGGGAGGUUUGGCACCUCGAUGUCGGCUCAUCGCAUCCUGGGGCUGGAGCAGGUCCCAAGGGUAUGGCUGUUCGCCAUUUAAAGCGGUACGCGAGCUGGGUUCAG
rnacentral:rRNA from 1 species